GGGUUGUGAGGUUAAGCGACUAAGCGUACACGGUGGAUGCCCUGGCAGUCAGAGGCGAUGAAGGACGUGCUAAUCUGCGAUAAGCGUCGGUAAGGUGAUAUGAACCGUUAUAACCGGCGAUUUCCGAAUGGGGAAACCCAGUGUGUUUCGACACACUAUCAUUAACUGAAUCCAUAGGUUAAUGAGGCGAACCGGGGGAACUGAAACAUCUAAGUACCCCGAGGAAAAGAAAUCAACCGAGAUUCCCCCAGUAGCGGCGAGCGAACGGGGAGGAGCCCAGAGCCUGAAUCAGUGUGUGUGUUAGUGGAAGCGUCUGGAAAGGCGCGCGAUACAGGGUGACAGCCCCGUACACAAAAAUGCACAUACUGUGAGCUCGAUGAGUAGGGCGGGACACGUGGUAUCCUGUAUUAAGAUGGGGAGACCAUCAUCCAAGGAUACAUACGCCUGACUGACCGAUA
rnacentral:rRNA from 1 species